GUGCCUGGGAUUGGCAAACUACAGCCUCCAGCCAAGUCCAGCAAUGUUUGGACAGCUUUCAAGAGAUUCAGGGGUAAGGCGAGGCCCUGAGUGAACAGCCGCCCUCGAGCCACUGCAGCGACUCUGACCCUGGCAUUCUUUGUGUGUUCAAGGAUUUCUGGAAGAAGGACCGGAACACUGGUUCUUAUGCACCUGGAUAAACGCGCUCCCACCUACAGCAUCCACAGAACACGGAGUCCGUCCCAGUGCACCACCCUGAUCCACUUGCUGGACUUACUGAGCAAGCUCUCU